GACGAACGCUGGCAGCAUGCUUAACACAUGCAAGUCUUACGCGAAGUUCUGGUUGCACAGCCUAGGCGAGGGGGACGGGUGGGUACAGCGUCAGGGGAUUGACCUGCCGUCAGGGAAGACAUACGGCAACGACAGAUUAUCUCCGGUCAAAUAAGGCGGCCCCAUUUCAUGCCGGAUGGAAAGAGUUGCUGCAGGGGAGCCUAGCGUCCUAUUAGCUUGUUGGUGGGGUUACGGCCCACCAGGGCGAUGAUCGGCAGCCGGCCUGGGAGGCUGGACAGCCACAAGGGGACUGAGGUACGACCCUUACUCCUACGGGAGGCAGCAGUGGGGAAGAAUGGUCGAUGAGGGCAACCCGGAUCCAGCAAUUCUGUGUGCACGAUGAAGGUGGUCGGAUUGUAAAGUGCUUUCAGCAGGGAAGAUAAAAAUGACGGUACCUGCAGAAGAAGCGACGGCUAAAUACGUG
rnacentral:rRNA from 1 species